GAUGAAGAACGUAGCGAAAUGCGAUAAGUAAUGUGAAUUGCAGAAUUCAGUGAAUCAUCGAAUCUUUGAACGCAUCUUGCGCUCCUUGGUAUUCUGAGGAGCAUGCCUGUUUGAGUGUCAUUAAAUUCUCAACUACAAUGACUUUGAAUUGGUGUGGCUUGGAUUUGGGGGGAAAAUUGUUGUGGGCUUUUUGUAUAGUCUGCUCCCCUGAAAUUGAUUAGCGGUACCUUUGUGGAACUGUCUACAGGUGUGAUAAUUAUCUACAUCUUAGACAUCUGCUGGAAUGCUGCUUUCUAAACCUUACUUGUAUUGACAAUCUUGACCUCAAAUCAGGUAGGACUACCCGCUGAACUUAAGCAUAUCAAUAAGCGGAGGA
rnacentral:misc_RNA from 1 species